rnacentral:rRNA from 1 species
UACGUAGGAUCCGAGCGUUGUCCGGAAUUACUGGGUGUAAAGGGCGUGUAGGUGGGUCUCUAAGUCGGUGGUGAAAUCCUGCAGCUUAACUGUAGAAUUGCCCUCGAUACUGGAGAUCUUGAGUGCGGUAGAGGGAGAUGGAAUUCAUGGUGUAGCGGUGAAAUGUGUAGAUAUCAUGAAGAACACCAGUCGCGAAGGCGGUCUCCUGGUCCGCUACUGACACUGAGGCGCGAAAGCGUGGGGAGCAAACAGGAUUAGAUACCCUGGUAGUCCACGCCUUAAACGAUGGGUACUAGGUGUUGGUCCCGCUCGGUGCUUGCUUCGGCAAGCUUCGAGCGGGGCCAGCGCCAAAGCUAACGCAUUAAGUACCCCACCUGGGGAGUACGAUCGCAAGGUUGAA